rnacentral:rRNA from 1 species
GAUGAACGCUGGCGGCGUGCCUAAUACAUGCAAGUCGAGCGGACCAAAGAGAGCUUGCUCUCUGAGGUUAGCGGCGGACGGGUGAGUAACACGUGGGUAACCUGCCUGUAAGACGGGGAUAACUUCGGGAAACCGAAGCUAAUACCGGAUGAUAAAGAGAAACGCCUGUUUCUUUUUUGAAAGUCGGCCUUGUGCUGACGCUUACAGAUGGGCCCGCGGCGCAUUAGCUAGUUGGUGAGGUAACGGCUCACCAAGGCGACGAUGCGUAGCCGGCCGGAGAGGGUGAUCGGCCACACUGGGACGGAGACACGGCCCAGACUCCUACGGGAGGCAGCAGUAGGGAAUCUUCGGCAAUGGACGAAAGUCUGACCGAGCAACGCCGCGUGAGCGAUGAAGGCCUUCGGGUCGUAAAGCUCUGUUGUCAGAGAAGAACAAGUACCGGAGUAACUGCCGGUACCUUGACGGUACCUGACCAGAAAGCCACGGCUAACUACGUGCCAGCCGCCGCGUAA